rnacentral:tRNA from 3 species
CGGGGUAUGGCGCAGUCUGGUAGCGCACCUGCUUUGGGAGCAGGUGGUCGCAGGUUCAAAUCCUGCUGCCCCGACCA